GAAAGUGAGUUGGCUGUGGAUUAUCAAUAAACCUAGAAUUCAUUCUUCCUGGGUUGAUGCCCGAGCGGUU
rnacentral:tRNA from 1 species